rnacentral:rRNA from 1 species
CCUACGGGAGGCAGCAGUGGGGAAUAUUGGACAAUGGGGGGAACCCUGAUCCAGCGACGCCGCGUGAGUGAAGAAGUAUUUCGGUAUGUAAAGCUCUAUCAGCAGGGAAGAAAGAAAUGACGGUACCUGACUAAGAAGCCCCGGCUAACUACGUGCCAGCAGCCGCGGUAAUACGUAGGGGGCAAGCGUUAUCCGGAUUUACUGGGUGUAACGGGAGCGUAGACGGCGAUGCAAGUCUGAAGUGAAAGGCGGGGGCCCAACCCCCGGACUGCUUUGGAAACUGUAUGGCUGGAGUGCCGGAGAGGUAAGUGGAAUUCCUAGUGUAGCGGUGAAAUGCGUAGAUAUUAGGAGGAACACCAGUGGCGAAGGCGGCUUACUGGACUGUAACUGACGUUGAGGCUCGAACGCGUGGGGAGCAAACAGGAUUAGAUACCCGUGUAGUC